CUGCAUGAAGCUGGAAUUGCUAGUAAUCGCGGAUCAGCAUGCCGCGGUGAAUACGUUCCCGGGCCUUGUACACACCGCCCGUCACACCAUGAGAGUCGGGAACACCCGAAGUCCGUAGUCUAACCGCAAGGAGGGCGCGGCCGAAGGUGGGUCCGGUAAGUUGGGGUGAAGUCGUAACAAGGUACC
rnacentral:rRNA from 1 species